rnacentral:rRNA from 1 species
UACGUAGGGGGCAAGCGUUGUCCGGAAUUAUUGGGCGUAAAGAGCUCGUAGGCGGUCUGUCGCGUCGGCUGUGAAAACCCGGGGCUCAACCCCGGGCCUGCAGUCGAUACGGGCAGACUAGAGUGCGGUAGGGGAGACUGGAAUUCCUGGUGUAGCGGUGAAAUGCGCAGAUAUCAGGAGGAACACCGGUGGCGAAGGCGGGUCUCUGGGCCGUAACUGACGCUGAUGCACGAAAGCUAGGGGAGCAAACAGG